UACGUAGGUGGCAAGCGUUGUCCGGAUUUACUGGGCGGAAAGGGCGUGCAGGCGGUCUGUUAAGUUCAGGGUGAAAGCUCCCGGCUCAACUGGGAGAGGUCCUUGGAUACUGGCAGACUUGAGGAGGGUAGAGGAGAGUGGAAUUCCCGGUGUAGUGGUGAUAUGCGUAGAUAUCGGGAGGAACACCAGUGGCGAAGGCGGCUCUCUGGGCCCUACCUGACGCUGAGACGCGAAAGCGUGGGGAGCGAACCGG
rnacentral:rRNA from 1 species